UGACUUUAGGUGUGAUCGCACAAAAAAUUUUGAAUUUUUAGGAAAUAAUUAAUUUUAUUAAAGUUAA
rnacentral:tRNA from 1 species